CGAUUGGACCCUUCGCCGAGGCGACGUUAUCACGUCCACGCCACCCAUUUCUACAUUCGCCAAUCUCAAUAGCGGGAAGUUUCCGCCCUUUACGGGAAUUAAAGACAACGGAGGUUCGCGGAGACGGAGGAAGAGAGGCUCGGGGAGACGGUAAAGGAGACGGAGGCAGACACGAGGAGACAUUGAUCCCAGCCUUCAUCCCACGAGCCUACAACCCGGUUAUAAUGGUCACAUGACGUCCAUCUACAGCCGCCCAAAAUGCAUCACGCGUGGAUAUUAAUUGUGGUCGCUAUUUUACUGAUGGAGACAAAUUGUCAAGGUUCAGAUUGUGAUGUGGAACCCCAAGACAUCGUGGCUCCUCUGGGCGUCCCCGUCAAUGCUACGUGUCUCCUCCGUGUGCCCGCCGACCCCGUGUCUCUGCACUGGAAGUUGGGGAGCAAACAAAUUAAUUCGGAACUCUCGGUGUCCACGCGUCCUGGUACUUUGUCCGUGUCCCUGUCUGGACUGGCUUUGUCUCCUCCAAGCGGACACAAUCUGCUGUGCUUCAAGGAAGACAGAAUGUGCUACGGGACUGUGGUCUACGUGGGGGGUGAGUGUCUGUCUCUGUGUCCCAGUGUCUCUGUGUCCCAGUAUCUCUGUGUGAGUGUAUAUUAGUUUGAGAGUCUGGGUGUGUUUGUGUGUAUCUGACUUGGGAGUGAUCGGGUAGUGGUUAGCGCGCUGCGCUACAAACCCGGCGACCUGAGUUCGAUUCCCGCUCACGGCCAACACCGGUGACAAUUAUCUGAACCGCUCCUAGGUCUCCCCUA